rnacentral:rRNA from 1 species
ACGAACGCUGGCGGCGUGCCUCAUCCAUGCAAGUAGCACGCUGAAGGAGGAGCUUGCUUCUCUGGAUGAGUUGCGAACGGGUGAGUAACGCGUAGGUAACCUGCCUGGUAGCGGGGGAUAACUAUUGGAAACGAUAGCUAAUACCGCAUAAUAGCAGUUGUUGCAUGACAACUGUUUGAAAGGUGCAAUUGCACCACUACCAGAUGGACCUGCGUUGUAUUAGCUAGUUGGUGGGGUAACGGCUCACCAAGGCGACGAUACAUAGCCGACCUGAGAGGGUGAUCGGCCACACUGGGACUGGGACACGGCCCAGACUCCUACGGGAGGCAGCAGUAGGGAAUCUUCGGCAAUGGACGGAAGUCUGACCGAGCAACGCCGCGUGAGUGAAGAAGGUUUUCGGAUCGUAAAGCUCUGUUGUAAGAGAAGAACGAGUGUGAGAGUGGAAAGUUCACACUGUGACGGUAUCUUACCAGAAAGGGACGGCUAACUACGUG